ensembl:misc_RNA Y_RNA Y RNA
GGUUGGUCCUAGGGCAGUGAGCUAUCUCCAUUGGGGGUUCACCAGUGGUUACAGAUCAAAGUUCUUGUUCUACUCUUUCCUCUCUUCUUGCUACUGUGCUUGACCAGUCCUUA